rnacentral:lncRNA from 1 species
UUCAACAUCAGAACUUGUUUCACGCAACAUUUCCAAACGAAUCAACGUAUGGUUGGUGAGCUUGAGCUCGUAUAGAUGAAACACUAAAAACAAACAAUGCAAUAUGAAAAAUCAACAAAUGCAACAUCAAAAGCCAGCGGUUGCAAUAGUUAAACAUCUUAAAAAUCAAUCAUGCUACAUCACACAGGAUGCAUAUAACUGCAAUAUCGCACGCAUAUAUAGCACUUGCAACAUCCAAAAAUCUAUACCGUAACAACACGAGGUAACUACUACAACAUAAUUGUUGAGAAGAAAUAUCUUCACUUAUCUACAAACACUCCUCCGCUCCUUCCAUGGCCGUCGCUGAGCAUGAAACAGGGGCGAUGGGAGAGCUGGAUGCUCAGGAUGAGUCACGAAGUAGGAGCUUCAUCAUCUCCAUCGAGGAGGCUGUUGCUCAGCACCGUUGACUCCGUGUUGACACCAUCAGCUCCAAGCCACACUGGGAAUGUCGACGGCCUUGCUCGCAUCGCUAUCUACUCCUGCCAUCCUGCGUCCGGCCCACUAUCUUUACUGCAAUCCAACGACAUGGUCGAGACCAUGGCCUGCGCCAUGAGUGAAGAAGACGUCAUCCCCCUCUUCGAUUUCUUCUCCCAGUGGGGAUAGGAAGUUGUAGUCCCGUCGUCAAGAGCAGCAUGCGAGCGGUCGGUCGGUCAGACGGUG